GUAAAACUGGGGGGGAAAAACUGUUUCCUGUUUCUUUUAGACGCUUCAGCGAAAUGUGAGGUUUCAUUUAACAUAUUUUCUGUUGUUAACGCCAACAUUAUAUUAUAUUUCAGAGAACAGACAUCUCAGAAGAUGGCUUAUUUGACAAGCAACUCUGUUGACAAAGAGAGGUUCUUGUGUAUAUACCCAGCCUACAUCAACAGUAAAAAGACAUUAGCAGAGGGCCGAAGAAUACCAACUGAGAAGAACAAGAUGUAUCCACGGGAAUGGAACAGAGACGGACAGUUCAGAGGAAGCGUGUGAGUUCAAGUCAAAAAAGACGAUGGAAGCUUGUGUCAAGACAAGUUUACCUCUAAAAAAGACAUUGUUUUACGUGGCCGAGAUUAUUCCCAAAUUGAAGACGAGAACACAGAAAAGUGGAGGUGGUGACUCAGGAGCACAGCCAGGAGAAGGACGAAAGAAAGGGAAGAAGAAGAAAUGAUUGCUUUUCCUCAUUCCAUUACAUCUCUCACAAAGCUUUUGUAUGUAUAUCGCUCAUGUCUGGUCAAUGCAAAAACAGGAGGUGAACGUUUUGCCAGAGUUUACUCUGUUUAUAUUAAUAUUGUGACUGUUUAUCAAACAUAUAAUAAAGUCAGAAACAAGAAGACACAUUUUCAGGCCUUUCUGCUGUGACUUUCCUUUAGGACAUUAAUAUUAACAUUAUUUUUCCAGAAUAUAUGGGCUGAGAACUUGUUGAAAAUCUGGGUUUUUGUUACCAUAGAACAUGCUUUGUUGUGAAUAUUUAAAAGAGAAUUUUUACAAUAUGUUCAACAACACAGAAUACUGAAAUAUUUAAUCCAUGUUUAAUUAUAUAUUUUUAAUAAAGAAUGAAAUGCAUAGAAA